rnacentral:rRNA from 1 species
AACGUAGGAGGCGAGCGUUAUCCGGAUUUACUGGGCGUAAAGCGUGUGUAGGCGGUACGGCAAGUUGGAUGUGAAAGCUCCUGGCUUAACUAGGAGAGGUCGUUCAAAACUACCGAACUUGAGUUUAUCAGAGGAAGAUGGAAUUCCCGGUGUAGUGGUGAAAUGCGUAGAUAUCGGGAGGAACACCAGUGGCGAAAGCGAUCUUCUGGGAUAAUACUGACGCUCAGACACGAAAGCUAGGGGAGCGAACGGGAUUAGAGACCCCGGUAGUCCUAGCAGUAAACGAUGUAGACUUGGUGUCGGAGGUGUCAAAGCCUUCGGUAUCGAAGCAAACGCGAUAAGUCUACCGCCUGGGGACUACGGCCGCAAGGUUA